rnacentral:rRNA from 1 species
AACGAACGCUGGCGGCAGGCUUAACACAUGCAAGUCGAACGCACCGCAAGGUGAGUGGCGCACGGGUGAGUAACGCGUGGGAAUGUACCGUUUAGUACGGAAUAGCUCCGGGAAACUGGAAUUAAUACCGUAUACGCCCUUCGGGGGAAAGAUUUAUCGCUAAACGAUCAGCCCGCGUGAGAUUAGGUAGUUGGUGGGGUAAUGGCCUACCAAGCCUACGAUCUCUAGCUGGUCUGAGAGGAUGAUCAGCCACACUGGAACUGAGACACGGUCCAGACUCCUACGGGAGGCAGCAGUGGGGAAUAUUGGACAAUGGGGGAAACCCUGAUCCAGCCAUGCCGCGUGAAUGAUGAAGGCCUUAGGGUUGUAAAGUUCUUUUACCGAUGAAGAUAAUGACGGUAGUCGGAGAAAAAGCCCCGGCUAACUUCGUGCCAGCAGCCGCCGUAA